GACGGUGAUCUGGGGUGACGUGAACGGGAACACGUUGCCGUGCAGGCUGCCGCUGGCGGUCUGCGGGUUGCCGUUGAACGUGUACUGCGCCAGCCACAGGUCUUGCCUCCAGUCGAAGCCGGCAGGCACAAUGAUCUCAAUCCACUCCCGCUUGUCGCUGUUGCCGCCCUGGGGGUUCUGGUCAUAGUGGAACUCAGAGAUGAACAGCGACGGGCAAUCGUCGCAUGGCGGGGGCGGCGCGGGGCUGGGCGGGGCAGGUGAAGGAGGCUCCGGGCUGGGCGGCGCGGGGCUGGGCGGCCGCGGGCUGGGAGGCGCAGGUGACGGAGGGGCAGGUGAAGGCGGCGCAGGGCUUGGUGGACGGGGACUGGGAGGUGCAGGCGAUGGAGGAGCUGGUGACGGCGGUGCAGGAGAUGGCGGGGCUGGAACGGGCGGCGCCGGCGAGGGAGGCGCAGGCGACGGCGGCGCAGGGCUGGGAGGCGCAGGGCUGGGCGGCUGGGGCGAGGGCGGCUCCGGCGAGGGCGGCUUGGCGAGGGGCGGCACGCCGCAAGCCUCAACUUGCGGGAUGGUGCCCAGGGCGAUGCUGGGGUUGAACAGGCUGCCCCAGGUCUGCGGUAGGCUGGCCUGCCAGUUCCACGUGGCCACGGUGCUCCAGUCGCCGGUGUUGAGGCGCUGGAUGGAGGUGCCCUGAGGCGUGUUGUUGUUCUCAAUCACGCCGGCGCCAACGUUGGUGCAGCUGUGGCCGGCCGCGGGGCCGUUCGCGGCGAUGCUGUUGAAGCCCUGCGAGUUGGCGCCGUAGCAGAUGAAGUCCGCCACCGACCAGCGCACGCCGUCCGUGCACUUGGUCAGCAGCGCAAAGCCGUCCCAGCCGCCGUUGCUGUUCUGCAGGUUGCCCUGCAGGUCAAUCACCAGCGCCGUCCAGUCGAAGUUGGGCGUCUGCAGCCGCGUCUCGCUGAUGACGGUGAUCUGGGGUGACGUGAACGGGAACACGUUGCCGUGCAGGCUGCCGCUGGCGGUCUGCGGGUUGCCGUUGAACGUGUACUGCGCCAGCCACAGGUCUUGCCUCCAGUCGAAGCCGGCAGGCACAAUGAUCUCAAUCCACUCCCGCUUGUCGCUGUUGCCGCCCUGGGGGUUCUGGUCAUAGUGGAACUCGGAGAUGAACAGCGACGGGCAAUCGUCGCAUGGCGGGGGCGGCGCGGGGCUGGGCGGGGCAGGUGAAGGAGGCUCCGGGCUGGGCGGCGCGGGGCUGGGCGGCCGCGGGCUGGGAGGCGCAGGUGACGGAGGGGCAGGUGAAGGCGGCGCAGGGCUUGGUGGACGGGGACUGGGAGGUGCAGGCGAUGGAGGAGCUGGUGACGGCGGUGCAGGAGAUGGCGGGGCUGGAACGGGCGGCGCCGGCGAGGGAGGCGCAGGCGACGGCGGCGCAGGGCUGGGAGGCGCAGGCGACGGCGGUGCUGGGCUGGGCGGCUCCGGCGAGGGCGGCUUGGCGAGGGGCGGCACGCCGCAAGCCUCAACUUGCGGGAUGGUGCCCAGGGCGAUGCUGGGGUUGAACAGGCUGCCCCAGGUCUGCGGUAGGCUGGCCUGCCAGUUCCACGUGGCCACGGUGCUCCAGUCGCCGGUGUUGAGGCGCUGGAUGGAGGUGCCCUGAGGCGUGUUGUUGUUCUCAAUCACGCCGGCGCCAACGUUGGUGCAGCUGUGGCCGGCCGCGGGGCCGUUCGCGGCGAUGCUGUUGAAGCCCUGCGAGUUGGCGCCGUAGCAGAUGAAGUCCGCCACCGACCAGCGCACGCCGUCCGUGCACUUGGUCAGCAGCGCAAAGCCGUCCCAGCCGCCGUUGCUGUUCUGCAGGUUGCCCUGCAGGUCAAUCACCAGCGCCGUCCAGUCGAAGUUGGGCGUCUGCAGCCGCGUCUCGCUGAUGACGGUGAUCUGGGGUGACGUGAACGGGAACACGUUGCCGUGCAGGCUGCCGCUGGCGGUCUGCGGGUUGCCGUUGAACGUGUACUGCGCCAGCCACAGGUCUUGCCUCCAGUCGAAGCCGGCAGGCACAAUGAUCUCAAUCCACUCCCGCUUGUCGCUGUUGCCGCCCUGGGGGUUCUGGUCAUAGUGGAACUCGGAGAUGAACAGCGACGGGCAAUCGUCGCAUGGCGGGGGCGGCGCGGGGCUGGGCGGGGCAGGUGAAGGAGGCUCCGGGCUGGGCGGCGCGGGGCUGGGCGGCCGCGGGCUGGGAGGCGCAGGUGACGGAGGCUGCGCGACAGGCGCAGGGCUGGGCGGCGCG
rnacentral:lncRNA from 1 species